rnacentral:rRNA from 1 species
GACAGAGGGUGCAAACGUUGUUCGGAAUUACUGGGCGUAAAGCGCGUGUAGGCGGCCAUCUAAGUCGGGCGUGAAAUCCCACGGCUCAACCGUGGAAGUGCACUCGAAACUGGAUGGCUAGAGUCCUGGAGAGGAAGGUGGAAUGCUUGGUGUAGAGGUGAAAUUCGUAGAUAUCAAGCGGAACACCGGUGGCGAAGGCGGCAUCCUGGACCGACAUUGACGCUGAUGAGCGAAAGCUAGGGGAGCAAACGGG